rnacentral:rRNA from 1 species
UACGUAGGGGCCAAGCGUUGUCCGGAAUCAUUGGGCGUAAAGAGCGUGUAGGCGGCUUGGCAAGUCUGACGUGAAAUCCCGCGGCUCAACCGCGGUAGGUCGUUGGAAACUGCCUCGCUAGAGUCCGGAAGAGGAGAGCGGAAUUCCUGGUGUAGCGGUGGAAUGCGCAGAUAUCAGGAAGAACACCCGUGGCGAAGGCGGCUCUCUGGGACGGUACUGACGCUGAGACGCGAAAGCGUGGGGAGCGAACAGG